rnacentral:misc_RNA from 1 species
UUAAUUCAACCAUCAUUCAUAAAUUUCAAUAUUUCUUUAACUCUAUACUUUAUAAUAUUCACGAAUAUGUAACUGUCACUGAUAAAAAAACGACCGUUCUGAUGAAGUUGGGUUAAAGUUAUAAAAAAAGAGGAUUCGGAAUGUACAUCAGCUGAUCUGACUCAUCACCUCUAUUGCGCUAUCGGUUACGCACACAAAGAGGAGGGGUGUAUCGCCAUUUUGGUGUCAUGUGUGCAGCGGGUGCUCUAUUAUCACUAUUUACAUCGUAAUUAACAGAUAUUAUUCAUAUUAAUAGAGAAUAUAUAAUUUAAUUUCUAUAGAUAUCUUGAAAACCGUGAUUGGCUAAACGUCGCUCGACCAAUAUUCAGGAGUUGUGCGUGAGGAAUUUCUACCAUGGGCAACAGAGACGACGAAUACGAUUAUCUUUUUAAAGUUGUUCUCAUUGGGGAUUCUGGUGUUGGCAAGAGUAACCUGCUGUCAAGAUUCACUCGCAAUGAAUUCAACUUGGAAUCAAAGUCUACCAUUGGUGUUGAAUUUGCCACACGUAGCAUAGAGGUGGAUGGCAAGACAAUUAAAGCACAGAUCUGGGACACGGCAGGCCAGGAAAGGUAUCGUGCCAUCACUUCUGCGUACUACAGGGGUGCCGUUGGAGCUCUGCUUGUCUAUGAUAUUGCAAAGCAGCUCACCUACAGCAAUGUUGAACGCUGGCUCAAAGAACUUAGAGAUCAUGCUGAUCAGAAUAUUGUCAUCAUGCUAGUAGGCAACAAAUCUGACCUGCGUCACCUGCGAUCCGUACCGACGGAAGAAGCCAAGGGCUUUGCUGAGAAGGAAGGCCUCUCAUUUAUAGAAACUUCUGCCUUAGACUCAACUAAUGUUGAGACUGCCUUCCAUAAUAUUCUUGAAGAGAUCUACAAGAUUGUGUCCCAGAAGCAGCUGCGCGACCACCCUGAUCUAGACGACAGUCCUACUGCCGAUGUUAGGGCUAUUCACGUUGAGCCAACCGUCAGUGCUGAGUCGGUGCGCAAGCAGUGCUGCCAGCAAUAAUGCUGCAGUUUUGUUGCUGCUGCACAAUUGGCAACAAUAAUGCUGCUACUCACCCUACAUUUUCUGAGAUCUACCGCAUUGUGUCGCGCCAGCAACUCCCCGACAACUCCGUGCCUGAGAUGCCCGGCGGUCCAUCGUUCAGCGUGAAGCCCACCGAGCCCACCCCUGGCAGCGCAUCAUCUGCCCUCAACAACUGCUGCUCUCGCUAGCCUGCCGUCCCUCUCACCUCUCUGCUGCACGAGGCUGCAGCGUCUCCAAACUUUGCCCAAGUGCUUCAAUUGGUUUCUGGCUCGUUAGUUUUCACGAGUCAUCAUGUCCUGAGGGGUUCCAAAUUAUAGCGAUAAAACACCAAUGUACUCGAGUGAGAACAAUACCCAGUUUAGGUAGGUCAUGUUCCAUGCAUCUGUUUUUGAUCUGCGGAAACUAGUUUGCAACUGGUUUCGAAUCUUGAGACUUGAAAGCAGACUUGCCAUCAAAUGUAACUAAGUCCAAAAGUACACGUUCAUAACCCUAUUCGUAGUUCACUGCAGAUUCUCUAGAGGCCUCCCAUGAGAUUUAAUGCCUUGUUGAUUGUUCUGGAUGGUGUCAUUUUCAAUGCGUUCUAUUAUGAAAAUCAAUAAAUUUUUGGCCUCGUUCUAAUUUGGUGCUAAUUUAUUUUGAAUCGGAUUGAUAACUUUUGAUGGUGGAACAUUAACAGAUGUCUUCGCAACCAAAGACCCCCCCACCCCGCAAUCAGCUGUUUGUCAAUUUUGUGCAUCAUGUUGGUUUCAACGCCCAGGAAUUAUAGUGAGAUUUGACCUAUGAAUAAAUUUUCAUUGUGUUGUGACUAGCUCAAGACAAUGUCAAACCCUCUCCUGUAAUUAAUAAAGUUCCUCAUCAUUGCUAUACAAUAAAUGGACGAGCUCGAAAGUAUGGUUAAAUAGAGGAAUCCAAAAUAUUUUUUCGCUUUGUCGUUCAUCUAUUCUCCAAAUAGGUUUCUGGAAUCAUAGUUUAAUGAUGUAUCCACGAUAAUGCAAAUUGUUCUCGGCGCGUGCUUAAUUUUCAUAACUUUGUUUUUGCAAGGGGCUUGAUUUGUUCUAAAAAACAACCUAGUUGUUUUCGAUCUUUUGCUGAAUGCUUUUCUUCCAAAAAUACCGCUACUUUCUGUAUUUUUCUAUCAAUGAGUGACCCGUGUUAUAGGCUGUCGUUAUUUCCAAGCUUCGUCACAACGCCUCGUGACCGCCCUGUACCCUCUUUUUUAUUAAUUAUCGAUCCCUUUAUGUAUGCUCCCGAUAUUUUUACUCUAUUUUAGUAUCAUUCUAAGCCAUUGUUUUGAGAAUCCCAUUUUGGGCCUUCGUUAUAGGUUAUUGUUUGUGUUGACUUCUAAGAGUUUUGUGUGAUUCUACUGAGGAGGAAUUUCGCUGUACUUUGUUUCUUUGAAGCUGUAGAUUCUUGCUCUUUCAGGAACCAGGACCAGCAGGCUAGUUUGUUGUGUAAUCUAAAUUAUCUUAAGAUCAGCAGCUGUUUUUUUUGUGUUAAACUCGUUCUUGUUUCUAAAUUUUAGGUAUCAAUGCAUUUCAAAUGUAUUUCAUCUAAUGCCUUAUUUUAUUUGCAUUUGGAACCAACUUUCGCAUUGUUGGGAUUUGUUUGUUUGUGAAUUUAUUGAGCAAAAAGUUAAGCGUCAUGAAAAUGUUGUCUUAUUUUUUGCACACGUUCAUGUGUUUCUCUUUUCUGUUGGGAUAGCGUGCGUGUAAGUCCAUGGCCAUAUCGAAAAUUAGACUGGGGGCUGAAAAAGCUUUAGGCGGUUCUGCCGUUCCAAGCAGUGAUGUGUUGUCGUCCGCUUCUUUGAGGCCACUUGGUUCGCCCUUGAAUCUAGAAUAUAAUUUUGAAAUUGUUAAAAAUUUUAUUCAAGAAUCGCAAAUAAUUUUGCAUAUCUCCUGCAAUCGCCAGAGCAUUUGCCAUCAUGUCUCUCAAAACCCUUUCGCCCAAAUUUUCUGAAAUUCGCUUGUACUGAAAUUAUGCCUGGAUCUAACUUGGCUGUGUUUAACUCGACGAUAUACUUCAUUGUAUUGUGAUUAAAUUCGAUGAUUAUUAGAUUAAAAGCUUCAAAUUAGUCCACUAGAUUAUAAUUUAUCCACGUUUUUCCUCCUUCCGACCAUUCGCUUUAUCACGACUGUGCCAGGUUCAUCCUCAACCUAUACCUCAUUCGACGCUUUACUUCAAGUUUUGUUUAGGCGACCUUAAUCCUCGAUUAAAUUGGUAGCGGGUCCCUGAGGAAAUAUUUUUGGGAUUGCUACCUAAUAGACUUCUCUCGAAAUCAUCGAUUUUCAUGUUGUAUUAUUUAAAAAAAUACCUCUUUUGUUAAACACAAAAUGAAUGUAAAGGAAAGGUGUGGGUCAUUUCUUGUCUAAAUCAGUUGCGAAAUUCAUUUUUUAUGCAUAUUACACCAUCAAAUUUGUUCACAUAAUGCACCACUGAGAUGAUUUUGUAUUGAGCUUGCACCAGGGGGAUGAAAAGUAGCAGGAUAUUUUACGUUCAAUUUGCGAGCGUUUUUCUUGAGUUGAUCCCAACUACUUGGUUUGUCGCAUUAAUUCGUAAUUUGAAGGUCUUGGUAAAAAGAAUUGCUUCGUCAGGUCUGAUGCGCAUCCUCUUGUUACAUUCUUAGUUGUGCCGCUGUUGACUUAACAAUUAAUUAACGAGAGCGAAAAGCAUAAGGUCGCUUUCUUUUCUGUGAUGUAAAAAUUGUAAUAUAGUCCAUAAAUUCUUAUAGCUUGGCCGGUCAAAGAAAUCCGAAAGUCGCCAUUUUUGCUCAUGCCAUAUAGCCAUCGCUGCAGCCUUCACUACGAUGUGUAGUGUCUGCUACGCGAUCGAAGUUCCCUCAUUCCAAAGUUCUGAAAUUCAUCAUACUGUCUUGUGUCCGACUUGUAGAGAUGCAUUCCAAAUCCGUAUCUGUGCUUUGGUUUCUCGUCUUACUCUCUGAAAGAUCGUUUGAUCGAUGUGGGUCUCGCCGAGUUCAUGGUUGCUGAAUAGUCUGUGCAUUAUAACAUUCAGUAAAUAUUUAUUCUUACCACAAAUUCUUUUUAUUUUUCAUCGUUUCGGUCACGCACCUAUGUAUAUUGUGCCCGUCAACCGAAUUUUUCCACUUGCG